GAAACACGGACCAAGGAGUGCAACAUGCGUGCGAGUCUCCGGGUGGCAAACCCGUGGGCGCAAUGAAAGUGAAGGCGGUGCUUUGGCCCGCUGUGGCGAGAGCCCCCGACUCUUCGGAGGCAGGGGGCGCAUCGUCGACCGAUCCCAGGUCACGCUGUGGCGGGAUUUGAGUGAGAGCGUGUCUGUUGCGACCCGAAAGAUGGUGAACUAUGCCUGAAUAGGGUGAAGCCAGCGGAAACACUGGUGGAAGCUCGCAGCGAUUCUGACGUGCAAAUCGAUCGUCAAAUUUGGGUAUAGGGGCGAAAGACUAAUCGAACCAUCUAGUAGCUGGUUCCCUCCGAAGUUUCCCUCAGGAUAGCUGGAGCCCGGUGCAGUUUUAUCAGGUAAAGCGAAUGAUUAGAGGUCUUGGGGCUGAAACAGCCUCAACCUAUUCUCAAACUUUAAAUGGGUAAGAAGCUCGGCUUGCUUGGUUGAAGUCGGGCGCAGAAUGCCGGGGCUCCCAGUGGGCCAUUUUUGGUAAGCAGAACUGGCGAUGUGGGAUGAACCAAAUGCCGGGUUAAGGUGCCUGAAUCGACGCUCAUCAGAUCCCAUGAAAGGUGUUGGUUGAUACUGACAGCAGGACGGUGGCCAUGGAAGUCGGAAUCCGCUAAGGAGUGUGUAACAACUCACCUGC
rnacentral:rRNA from 1 species